rnacentral:lncRNA from 1 species
UGUCUUUUUGUGUCGGGAUGUAUAAGUACCGGGCCACUUCCACUUGUAUUUUUGUCCAUCUGAUGAGUUAAGCCUUUUUCAACUGAUUUUAUAGUUCGUUCUUAUGUUGUUCUAUUAUACCACUGUCUCAGGUUAGGGGGAGGGUUGAGAUCACGCUAACAUGUUUAACCCCGCCACAUUAUUUAUGCAUGUGCCUGUCCCAAGUCAGGAGCCUGUAAUUCAGUGGUUGUCGUUUGUUUAUGUGUUACAUAUUUGUUUUUCGUUCAUUUUUUUUUUUACAUAAAUAAGGCCGUUAGUUUUCUCGUUUGAAUUGUUUUACAUUGUCUUAUCGGGGCCUUUUAUAGCUGACUAUGCGGUAUGGGCUUUGCUCAUUGUUGAAGGCCGUACGGUGACCUACAGUUGUUAAUGUCUGUGUCAUUUUGGUCUUUUGUGGAUAGUUGUCUCAUUGGCAAUCAUAUCACAUCUUCUUUUUUAUAUUUGCACCA